rnacentral:rRNA from 1 species
AACGAACGCUGGCGGCAUGCCUAACACAUGCAAGUCGAACGAGAAAGCCCGCAAGGGUAAGUAAAGUGGCGCACGGGUGCGUAACACGUGGGUAAUCUGCCCUUUAGUUUGGGAUAACUCCUCGAAAGAGGAGCUAAUACCGGAAAGACCACAGAAACAUAAGUUUCAGGGGUUAAAGGUGGGGACCGCAAGGCCCAUCGCUAAUGGAUGAACCCGCGCAAUAUCAGCUAGUUGGUGAGGAAUGGCUCACCAAGGCUAUGACGUUUAGCUGGUCUGAGAGGAUGACCAGCCACACUGGAACUGAGACACGGUCCAGACUCCUACGGGAGGCAGCAGUGGGGAAUCUUGCACAAUGGGCGCAAGCCUGAUGCAGCAAUGCCGCGUGAGUGAUGAAGGCCUUCGGUUGUAAU